rnacentral:rRNA from 1 species
GGCCAGACUCCUACGGGAGGCAGCAGUGGGGAAUAUUGGGCAAUGGACGCAAGUCUGACCCAGCAACGCCGCGUGAAGGAAGAAGGCUUUCGGGUUGUAAACUUCUUUUAAGGGGGAAGAGCAGAAGACGGUACCCCUUGAAUAAGCCACGGCUAAAUACGUGCCAGCAGCCGCGGUAAUACGUAUGGAGCAAGCGUUAUCCGGAUUUACUGGGUGUAAAGGGAGCGCAGGCGGCCUUGCAAGUCUGAUGUGAAAGGCCGGGGCCCAACCCCGGGACUGCAUUGGAAACUGCGAGGCUGGAGUGUCGGAGAGGCAGGCGGAAUUCCUAGUGUAGCGGUGAAAUGCGUAGAUAUUAGGAGGAACACCAGUGGCGAAGGCGGCCUGCUGGACGAUGACUGACGCUGAGGCUCGAAAGCGUGGGGAGCAAACAGGAUUAGAUACCCUCGUAA